rnacentral:sRNA from 1 species
GGUCUGGAGGCCAAGCCUCUGCUCCUGACAAGCUAAGUUACCCAGAAAUUGCAGCAUGUGCCGAGGCCCUGCCAGGGCUGGGGAUGAGCACUUGCUGGCUGCCUGCUCUUUAGGGCUUUGGCCUGCCUUGGAAGAGCAGGGACAGUGGCGAGCAGAGGGGGCCGGGGAGGCCGGGCCAUUCAGAACGGUCAUCAGCCAGGUACUCCCAGAGGCUGCCUUCGAGGCCACAUCACCAGCCCGGGCACAUUGCUCUUUCCAUGGGGGCAUUUCCAGGGGAGUGCCGUCAACCAAAUACAAGGCUGUGGCUUGUGCAGAAUUAGAGUAAAUGAAUGAAAAUAGAGUGUUUCUCAUCUACCAGAACCCAGAAGGCUGUCUCAGUGUACAGGACCAGUAACCAGGCUUACGGGAGCAGAGCCCCCACCGUGCACGAGAUGCCUAAAGUAUUUUAUCCAAAUUCGAAUAAAUUUUCCCAACAACUUGCAGCGGGUGGAAUGUUCCGGAACAAUACUCUCAAUGUUUACCUGGAGAAAAGCAUCGUGACUGGCCCCGAUAACUGCAUCACCUCCUGUGACCGGCUCAACUUCCACCCCAGUUACAACAUCAACAGGCCAU